GCAUUUUAUGUUCACCAAAUGAUUUUCCAUGAUCGUGUUGUUUACAUUUGGUGUCGUAGCUUGUCAUUAAAGACAUUUUAAAGACUCUCAAUCUGACGGCACCCAUUCACUACAGAAAAUCCAAUGGUGAGCCAGUGAUGGAAUGAUACAUUUCUCCAAUUCUGUUCCGAUUUAGAAACAAACUCAACUACAUCUUGGAUGUGUCCAUAAAAUGUUAAUGCUACACUGGAUAUUGACUGUUUUUUACACCACGAACCACUACCACAAAAUCAUGUAAAUAGAGUUUUAACUCUCUCUAUCAGAUUUAGUUUGUUUAUUUAUUUAUUU